rnacentral:tRNA from 1 species
GCGAUGAUGGUUCAGUGGUAGAAUUCUCCCCAUCCACAUGGGAGACCCAGGUUCGAUUCCUGGCCAGUGCA